rnacentral:misc_RNA from 1 species
CCCCUCCCGCCUACACCGCUUCGCUUCGCGGGUGCUAACAUCAUCCCUUGCGCACGGGGUAUGUGAGGAGGUUUCUCCCACCUCAACACUUCUCAUCCUCAUAUUUUAACAAGGGGCCAGGACCAGGCGGCUAACUUGGCUUUGGGAAAAGCUGCUCAGCUCUUUCCCACCGCCCAGCGAUCGAUCCGUCUCAUUCCCUCAUACGUACGCUGUGCAGAGGACGGCGCUCGCGUUGCUUGCGUGGGGAUCUUGGAUUCUUGUCUCUGCCUCCUUUUGUAUUUUUAACCCACGCACACGCCUCUCUCUCUGCGCGUCGCUUGGCAUCCUCUCUGCACCGUCGUACCCACACAGGGCACAGGCGUGCGACACACAGAGGAGAUGAGCCAUGACGUCUCGUGUGUCAGUCGGCCGAGCUUGCUGUCCAACGGUUCCUCGAGAAGCACGAGCGAGCCUCCUGAUGCGUCGCUGCUAAGUGCAGCGGCAACGGCUGCAGCUACGCCGCCGCCCUCGGACACACAAGCCAGCGGCGUCGAUGUCGCUGGCAGCGCCGAAUACACUUGCGGCAACUACGAUCUUGAAGGCAGCACCAGCACGGUCGACGCCCUCAUCGGCGCAUCAUGCUCCAAAAAGGAGCGCAACCCGGAGUUCAACAUGUACAAGCUGCCAAUCGAGGAGCAGUUUAAUCUGAUCGAGGAGGAGUUUGCCGCCAUCGAGGCGAGCACCAUGAAUCCGCGGUUGUACGACUUCACCACCUCCAACGCCAACCCAACGAAGAACCGCUACAUCAACGUACUCGCUAACGAGGAGACAAUCUUCCCCCCAACGCGCUUGACAUCUGCCCCACCGGCGACGGGCGGCUCGACACUCUCCACGUCCGGCUCUCCGCCUUCGAUGGCAGCGGCGCCGUCGCCAAUGAAGUCUCUCACAUCCAGAGCGCAGAAGGUUUGGGGGGCCGCCGGGCAGCGGCUCUUUGGCACACGACGUGGCGGCACUUUACCAAAAGACCUUGAGGGCAACGAGAAAUUCACCACCGACUGCGUCGCCAAGAAGUGUCCGCAAUGGUACAUCAACGCCAACGUGGUGGACACGAGUGUGGAGCCUGUGUUUGUGGCCUCGCAGGCACCGGUGCAGGAGUGCAUCGAUGACUUUCUCGCUGUUAUCUAUAGCUGUGAGGUGACCCUGGUGCUGAUGUUGACUGAGAUGGAGGAGGCUGGCUUUGUGAAGGCAGACCGGUACUGGCCAGAAGACAGCGCCCCCGUUGACAGGACGGAGUCGUUCGGCAGCAUGUGCGUGUACAAGGAUGAGCAGGACCCGUAUACGUACGACGCCACACACGAACUCGUGCGCCGACCAUUCUACAUACGCCCCUCGGCUGCGUCCCAAGCGCGCGCACACAAGAUCGUCAUGUAUCAGUAUGUGGGCUGGCCUGACCGUGGCGUUCCCGACAGCACCGAAUCUUUUGAGGAGCUCUUGAAAAUCAUUCAGGAUUAUGCAAUGGUGCCAGCGACUCAACGUAUGCCGGUGGCUAGGCCGGAGAGCGCCGCCCACAGCUCCAUCGCCACCAACAGCGGCGGUGACGGCAGCACCAACAAUACUGCAAGUGACGACGGAGCUGGCAAACUCACGCCCCCAGUCUUUGUGCACUGCAGUGCCGGCAUUGGCCGUACGGGCACCCUCAUCGGCGCCUACACGGCCGUGAAGCUGACGGAGGCCGGGCUGCUGACGAACACAAGUAUCCGGCGCAUCGUGACGGACAUGCGCAAGGCUCGCUUUGGUAUGGUGCAGCGCGUGGAGCAGUACAUGUUUCUGUACAUGAUUGUGCUGCAGCACAUUGGGGUAGACACGCGCAAGUUCAGCGCACGCAUGCAGCCGCGAGCGGACAUGUAUAAUAUGAGGUGGAUGGAGACGAGGCAGAAGGCGCUACUUGGGGCCCGCGCAGCGAAGCGCUGAGCAAGACGCAUAAAUAACCAAAGAGGAUGCGAAACAAUGUUGUAAUCGACUGCGACAGCUGUAUGCGUGUGUUUGAGUGGGGAUGGGGCUCUCCCUCCGCAGCAGGAGUGCAGACAAGGGAGCUGCGGGUAGUCUUCACAAGGACGAGACAUGGACAGAACGCACCAACUCAAUUUUCCUCGUUGCUCCCCGCGCGUGCGUGAAAGGUGUGCGUGUGUGUGUCCGCCUCGAGAUCGAGCAUGCUCUUGCUGUUGUAGCCCCUUGGCUGGGAUGGAGUAGACGUCAUUGCCGCGCAGGGGCUAAGAAAUGUGAGGUAGCGCAGACGAAAGAGCGUGGCACGCCCGUACGUCUGCGCUCUUCGCUUUACUUGGCAGACUUGGACUCACCGGGUUUGGACGGGCGAGAUAUGCGCGCCUAAGCCCCGGAGUAUCCACGGAUGUGAUGACCAACUUCAUCCCGUCCUCCUAUCCCUUUCCGCGCACAGAGUGACGCCCCCCCCCCCUCCCUCUCACUCCUUCAUGUACGAUAUGCUGAGCCCCAUGCACGUGCGCGAGCGCUAAUCAG